GGCCGGAUAGCUUAGUGGUCAAAGCUUUUCCGAUUAAUGGAAGCAACCCUGGUCCGACUCCUGGUCCAGCCG
rnacentral:tRNA from 1 species